rnacentral:rRNA from 1 species
UAAUACGUAGGGUGCAAGCGUUGUCCGGAAUUAUUGGGCGUAAAGAGCUCGUAGGCGGUCUGUUACGUCGGCUGUGAAAACCUGGGGCUCAACUCCGGGCCUGCAGCCGAUACGGGCAGACUAGAAUUCGGUAGGGGAGACUGGAAUUCCUGGUGUAGCGGUGAAAUGCGCAGAUAUCAGGAGGAACACCGGUGGCGAAGGCGGGUCUCUGGGCCGAUAUUGACGCUGAGGAGCGAAAGCGUGGGGAGCGAACAGGAUUAGAUACCCUGGUAGUCCACGCCGUAAACGUUGGGCGCUAGGUGUGGGCUCCAUUCCACGGAGUCUGUGCCGCAGCUAACGCAUUAAGCGCCCCGCCUGGGGAGUACGGCCGCAAGGCUA